GCCGGGCGUUGUGGCGGGCGCCUGUGGUCCCAGCUACUUGGGAGGCGGAGGCAGGAGACUCGCUUGAGCCCAGGAGUUGGAGGUUGCUGUGAGCUGUAAUGCCAUGGCACUCUACCCAGGGGGACAGCUUGAGGCUCUGUCUCAAAAAAAAAAAAAAAAAAAAAGACAGAAUCUUACUCUGUUGCCCUGGGUAGAGUGCAGUGGUGUCAUCAUAGCUCACUAUAACCUCAAACUCCUGGAUUCAAGCAAUUCUCCUGC
rnacentral:sRNA from 1 species